GACGAACGCUGGCGGCGUGCUUAACACAUGCAAGUCGAACGGAAAGGCCCCUUUGUUGGUACUCGAGUGGUGAACGGGUGAGUAACACGCACGUAAGCUUCCCUUCACUUCGGGAUAACUACAUGAAACUGGGGCUGAUACCGAAUAGGAAUCAUUUCUGCAUGGUGGGGGUUGGAAAGCUUCGUCCGUUUUGGAUGGACUCGCGGGCUAUCUGCUUGCUUGUGGGGUAGUGGCUUACCCAGGCUUGGUGGGGUAGCCGGCCUGCGAGGGUGGCCGGCCACCUUGGGACUGAGAGACGGCCCAGACUCCGAAGGGAGGCCGCAGGGGGGAAGAUUGACCGAGGGGCGGAAGCCUGGUGCAGAAACGCCGCGGGCCGGAUGACGGCCUUCGGGUUGGAAACCGCAUUCAGCAGGGGCGAAGCUUGUGGUGACGGUACCUGCAGAAGAAGCACCGGCUAACUACGUG
rnacentral:rRNA from 1 species